rnacentral:lncRNA from 1 species
GAGAAGUUAAUUCAAAAUUCUUCACUUUAAUAUGGUAUCAGAGCAAUUCUUCUCUGCGUCCUUACUGUCAUCUUACAAGUGCAAAGAAUGUUGCUGAAAUAGGUAACAGUUUUGGCCAUCUCUCAAGUACUUGUUUUUCCAUUUUCUUCAAUCCAAUGUUCAAUUCUCACAUACAUUGGGUAAUGGACUCUAGGGCUACAAGUCAUAUAUGCUUCUCUCAAUCAGCUUUCCAAAAUUUGAGACCAAUCAAAAAUGCAUAUAUUACUCUGCCAAAUCAUGAAAGAAUCUCUGUUCACUUCAAUGGGACAGUAAAAAUUUCAUUUGAAUUGAUACUUGAAGAUGUGUUAUACGUUCCUCAAUUCAAAUUCAACGUAUUAUCUAUCAGCUCGUUAACCAGGAAUCUAUUUGUUAAGAUACAAUUUCUCACUGAUUUUUGCAUUAUUCAUAUCUGGACAGCAUGAAGAUGAUUGGCAAGGUUGAUAGAAUGGAAAGCCUUUACAUAUUGGAUGCUGCCUCAUCUACAUCUCUUUCAAAUGAUUGUAAUGAUUUCAGUUCAGUAGGUUCAUUUGUGAAUAAUGUGAGUACCAAUACCUGGCACCACAGACUUGGUCAUUUGUCAUAUCAAAAGUUAGAUUCCAUGAAAGAACAUUUGAAUCUUAAUUGUAGUAGAAAUAGAAAUCAAAUUGUUGAUCCAUGUAACAUAUGCCCAUUAGCUAAACAAAGAAGGUUGCCAUUUGUAUCUAACAACCAUCUUUCUAAAAAUGCAUUUGAUUUGAUACAUUGUGACGUUUGGGGAUCUUAUCAUGUCCCAACACAUGCUGGACACAAGUUCUUUCUUACACUAGUUGAUUAUUGUACACGCUUCACUUGGAUCUACUUCAUGAAACACAAAUCGGAUGUUAGCACCAUCAUUCAUAGGUUCUUUAAUAUGAUAGAGACUCAGUUCCACACAGUCAUUAAGAAGUUUCGAUCAGAUAAUGCUCCAGAACUUCAAUUCGCAAUUAUUUUUUGCAUCUAAGGGAGUUUUCAAUCAGUUCCCAUGUUUUCAAAGACCUGAGCAAAAUUCAGUUGUUGAAAGGAAGCAUCAACACCUCCUUAAUGUGGCUAGGGCUCUAUUUUUCCAAUCUACGGUUCCUAUACAAUUUUGGGAGAAUGUGUUCUCACAGCCACAUUCUUAAUCAAUAGAACACUUUCACCACUCCUACAAAACAAUACCCCAUUUUGUCUUCUGUAUAAAUCUCCAGUAGAUUACCAUUCUUUAAGGGUAUUUGGAAGUCUCUGCUUUGUUUCUACACUAUCUUCCAAUCGACCAAAUUUUAUUUAAGAGCCAGUGCAUGUGUCUUCAUUGGCUAUCCACUUGGUAUCAAAGGAUAUAAGUUGUAUGACAUUGCUUUUCAAAAUCCUUUCUUGUUUCAAGAGAUGUCAAGUUUCAUGACCGUCUAUUUCCUUUCCACUCCAUCUCACAUGAUAAUGACAUGAUCGAUCCCUUUCCUAAUCUAGUUUUACCCAUUUCAAACUCUGAUCUUCUUCCACCUUCAAAUAAUCCUCACAUGUCUUCCAUUGACAAUCCUGAUAUGACACAUAAUGCUAAAAUUGUACCCUCCAAUUUCCAUCAGAAAUCUGUCACAAUUCCAGCUUCAAAUUCCUCCAUAAAUCCAACUCCUAGAAGAUCAAACAGAAUCAGUAAAACUCCUUCAUACCUGCUGGACUAUCAUUGCAAUUUAUUAACAAACAUUCCAACACCAUUAGAUCAUCACUCCCAGUAUCCCUUAAACAAAUACCUUUCCUAUAAAAAAAUUUCUUCUUCAUAUCGUACAUACAUUUUCAAUGUUUCUUCCUGCUAUGAGCUACAGUUCUAUCAUCAAGCAGUUAAAUUUGAUCAUUGGAGAAAAGCUAUGGAGAAUGAAUUGGAGGCAAUGGAGCUUAACAAUACUUAGUCAGUUGUUAAUCUACCUGAAGACAAGCAUUCCAUAGGCUGCAAAUGGGUGCUCAAAAUCAAACACAAACCUGAUGACAGUGUUGAUAGAUAUAUGGCACGUUUGGUUGCAAAAGAUUAUACACAACAAGAAGGAUUGGACUUCAUCGAAAUAUAUUCUCCUGUGGCAAAAUUAGUCAUGAUUAAGGUAUUCCUUGCCAUUGCAGCCAUCAAUAAAUGGCAUAUUAUACAAUUAGAUGUAAACAAUGCUUUCCUAAAUGGUGAUCUCUUUGAAGAAAUCUACAUGGAUCUUCCUUUGGGAUAUGUUAAACACAAUGUAAGAAGGGAAAGAUUGGUUUGUAAACUACAGAAAUCAAUCUAUGGCCUAAAACAAGCCUCAC